rnacentral:rRNA from 1 species
GACGAACGCUGGCGGCGUGCUUAACACAUGCAAGUCGAACGGAAAGGCCCUGCUUUUGUGGGGUGCUCGAGUGGCGAACGGGUGAGUAACACGUGAGUAACCUGCCCUUGACUUUGGGAUAACUUCAGGAAACUGGGGCUCAUACCGGAUAGGAGCUCCUGCUGCAUGGUGUGGGUUGGAAAGUUGCGGCGGUUGGGAAUGGACUCGCGGCUUAUCAGCUUGUUGGUGGGGUAGUGGCUUACCAAGGAUUGGACGGGUAGCCGGCCUGAGAGGGGGACCGGCAACAGGGGAAUAGGGGUGGGGCCAAGAGGCAUCCGGGGGGAAGGGGGGGGAAAUUGUGCAAAAGGGGGGGAGGCCGGAAGGAAGAACGCCGGGGGGGGGAGGCGGGUUUUGGGGUGGAAAACAAUUUGUGCGUGAGAGGAAGCGUGGGGAAGGGAAAUGGUAAAAAAGGCACGGGUAAAUAAGGG